CCUACGGGGGGCAGCAGUGGGGAAUUUUGGACAAUGGGGGCAACCCUGAUCCAGCCAUGCCGCGUGAGUGAAGAAGGCCUUCGGGUUGUAAAGCUCUUUCGGCCGGGAAGAAAUCGCUCAAGCUAAUACCUUGGGUGGAUGACGGUACCGGAAGAAGAAGCACCGGCUAACUACGUGCCAGCAGCCGCGGUAAUACGAAGGGUGCGAGCGUUGAGCGGAAUGUGCGGGCGUAAAGCCAUAAGAGGGGGGGGAAAGCCCCGGGCUUAACCUGGGAACUGCGUUUGUGACUGUGGUGCUCGAGUGCGGCAGAGGGGGGUGGAAUUCCACGUGUAGAAGUGAAAUGCGUAGAGAUGUGGAGGAACACCGAUGGCGAAGGCAGCCCCCUGGGUCGACACUGACGCUCAUGCACGAAAGCGUGGGGAGCAAACAGGAUUAGAUACCCCAGUAGUC
rnacentral:rRNA from 1 species